UUGCUGUGCACGAAUCAUUUCUGGAAAAAUCACUCCUUGAUAAGAGUUGCUGACUCUUCUUGCACGCACAUCGACGACGACGACCUGCGUAUUUAUUGAAUUGAAGAACCUAACUCCCCCCCAAAGUCAGAAGGAAGAUAGCGUGGCGUUCAACAAUCUUCAAUCCUAUCCCCAAAGAUCUUGAAACAGAUUUCAUGGCCGACGACGCUAGUUCAGUCAUCGACCCUCAGCUUAUCCUCUCUCACAACUUCCCCGAGACGACGUACACAUAUACUGAAAGAGAUGCAGCACUCUAUGCUCUUGGCGUUGGAGCAUGUGCAAGGGAUGCCUUGGAUGGAAAGGAGCUCAAAAAUGUUUACCACCAACAUGGACGGCAGUCCAUCCAGGUCCUGCCAACUUUUGCUGCUCUGUUGUCUUUUGGAUCUUUGUCAGAACUUACUAACCUACCUGGGUUGCAAUAUGACCCACGCCUUCUUUUGCAUGGACAACAAUACAUAGAAAUCUACAAGCCAUUUCCAUCUAGUGGCUGUAUCCAAAAUAAAGCAAGUAUCUCUGGCUUGCAUGACAAAGGUAAAGCAACUAUCUUGGAGGUAGAAGUCAAAAGUUACGAUAAACAGUCUGGUGAACCGCUCUGCAUGAACCGGAUGACUAUUUAUCUCAGGGGUAUUGGUGGCUUCUCCAAAUCAUCUCACCCAUACUCCUACAGUAAGAAUCCAGCCAGCCAGAAUGUAGCUGCUAAAAUUCCAAAAAGUCAACCAUUUGCAGUUUUUGAGGAAUGCACCCAACCAUCGCAGGCAUUACUAUAUAGGCUAUCCGGUGACUAUAACCCAUUGCACUCAGAUCCUAUGGUUGCAGAAAUUGCCGGGUUUUCUCGUCCGAUACUGCAUGGCUUAUGCACUCUCGGCUUUGCGGUAAGGGCUAUUAUCAGAUGCGUGUGCAAGGGAGACCCCAACAUGAUCAAAACCAUCUCUGGAAGAUUUCUUUUACAUUUCUACCCUGGUGAAACCCUGAUCACAGAGAUGUGGCUUGAAGGCUUGAGGGUUGUAUACCAAGUAAAGGUGAAGGAGCGAAACAAGGCAGUGCUUUCUGGGUUCGUAGAAAUCAGUCAUUUAACUUCAUCCCUGUAAAAUGCUACUACCUAGCAAAUGAAUAAGGUUAAACAGGAUAUGGUUUUCUCCUUUGCACGGUUGAGAGAAUUUGCUCAUUUUGAUUGUGGUUUAUAUGUUGUGUAUGCGAUAUCCCACAGUAUCAUUUUGAACAA